CAGUUACAGUCUGUACUCCCGGGCAGCUAUAGGCUGCCACAGGAUGUGCUUAAGCAAACAAAACUACUUUUCCUCGUCCCCAUCCCCCCACCGCUGCCGCAGACCUCCGCGGACCUCGGCGGAGGACUUCGGCAACUUUGCCAGGUUGCCCCGCACCCCCCCCCCCCCCCCCGGCCACCGCGUGGGCACGUAGAGAACCGAGGAGGAGGCCGGGCGGCACAUUUGCAUGAAAGAGGUGGGUAUCAUGUUGAAAGACACUGGCACACAGGGGAAUCUGUCCUUCGGUGGAGGUGACAUAGCCAGAGAAUCUCUAAAGAGAGGAAAUUCCUGUAGGAAUGCCCAUUCCACAAGUGAGGUAAAGGAAGAAUCUCCUAAAAACUAAGCUGAGUUACAGAGACAACAUCCCUGGCCACGAGAACCUUUGCUGGGAUCUAUAACUUCAAUGCGCUCCAAGUUUCCUCGAUAGAAGUUUCUGGCUGACGGUCGGUCCCAACAUGUAACUGAGGCACAGUGAGAAGUUAUUGUUCGGAGUUUGUACUCGGGAAGCUCUUACAGAGCAGAUCAAAAUCUUUCUUUGGUGUAUUAAAAGAUACACUUCACAUCUGCCUCUUUUCAAAAUGGCAAAGAUUCUUACUUUGGAGUCUCAAGGGGAAAAAGAUUUAAAAAA